rnacentral:rRNA from 1 species
AUACGGAGGGUGCAAGCGUUAUUCGGAAUCACUGGGCGUAAAGGACGCGUAGGCGGGUUGGCAAGUCAGAUGUGAAAUCCUACAGCUUAACUGUAGAACUGCAUUUGAAACUGCUAACCUAGAGUAUGGGAGGGGGAGAUGGAAUUAGUGGUGUAGGGGUAAAAUCCGUAGAUAUCACUAGGAAUACCGAAAGCGAAGGCGAUCUCCUGGAACAUAACUGACGCUAAGGCGUGAAAGCGUGGGGAGCAAACAGGAUUAGAAACCCUAUAGUCC